rnacentral:rRNA from 1 species
UACGUAGGGGGCUAGCGUUGUCCGGAAUCAUUGGGCGUAAAGAGCGCGUAGGCGGCUAGAUAAGUCCGGUGUGAAAGUCACAGGCUCAACCUGUGAAUGCCGCUGGAAACUGUCUGGCUAGAGUCCGGAAGGGGCGAGUGGAAUUCCUGGUGUAGCGGUGAAAUGCGCAGAUAUCAGGAGGAACACCAGUGGCGAAGGCGGCUUUCUGGACGGUAACUGACGCUGAGACGCGAAAGCGUGGGGAGCAAACAGG